CUGAUUGGCUCAACAGGGCAGAUCAGAGAAGUUUACUUUCCAUCUGGAGCGAGUUUCACCUCCAAAACGUUUUGACGGGGCUGAAGUCAACGCUGGGUUGUGUGAUAAGCCCAACAGAGACGCUGUGGAGGUGAUGCACAGGGACAGGGUGAUGAUGACUCCAGUCAUGCUGAUGAGGAGGGAGAGAAGAAGCAGCAGGAGGAGAAAGAGGAGGACAGGGAAGAGAAGCAGCAGGAGGAGAAGGGGCCUUUAUCGGCCGAGGAACGGAGGGCUCUGCAGCGGGUGAUUAAAACUGUUCAGAAGAUCAUUGGUACCCAUCUCCUGAGCAUCAGUGAUAUCGGUGAGGUGAGGUGACUGCACAGAGGCCAAAGGAUACUAAAGAAUAGUACCCACCCAGCCACAGCCUGUUCACCCUGCUGCCUUCUGGGAAGAGAUAUAGAAGUUUCAGCUGCCGCACCACCAGCUUUUUCCCCCAGGCUAUCAGACUCUUAAGCUCAAAUUCAUCUUCAGCUCUGCUCCAUUUUAUUUCUGUUUGCCAUUUUUAUAAUUGCUUCUGUAUUAAUGUAUAUUGUCUGCUUUGUAGCAGAAGGGAUAUUGUGAAAAAAUAAAUCUCCCUACCUACCUACCUACCAUUAAUCUGUGUACAUAGUCAUAUUGUGGGGACCCCAUAAAGGGUAACGUUGGUUUAGAUUUAGGUUUUUCUCCAAGAUAUUGAUGUAGGUCUGUGUAAUGUCGUCUGAAGUGAUGAAAACACAACUGUGUAUGUGUGUAUAUAUUUUUAAUUUAUUAUUAUUACUAUUUUAUGUACAUAUUACUUUUGACUGUAUGUAGGCUAUUUAAUGUAAAGCACUGUGACUGACGAAAUCUACACGUCUUCCCACUUUGUAUUAUGAAAAAAGUCAAGUGAAGGUAAAAAUAAAGGUUGAAAAAUAAACCACAAGUGUCCACAGUGACCACACACUCAGGCCCAAAAAGAUAUAUAACCGAGGAUCUUUGGCUGAUAAGAGCAAACUGGUUUAACCUGGUUUACCUCCUGAACCAGGUAGAAUAGAUCAUCCACUAAUUCCAGGUUUGCCUGCACCUGCUGUCCACAUGUUGAAGUCUCCUUGAGCAACACACUGAACCCUAAGUUGCUCCUAAUUAUCAGGUUGGCACCUUGCAUGGUAGCUUGCUGCCAUCAGGGUGUGUGUGAAUGGGUGAAUGACAAACUGUAAAGGCUACCUCUGUACAUGAUACGGGAAAAGGUGUUUUCUCU